rnacentral:rRNA from 1 species
AUACGUAGGGGGCGAGCGUUGUCCGGAGUUAUUGGGCGUAAAGGGCGUGUAGGCGGCUUGUUAAGUCAGGUGUGAAAUUUCAGGGCUUAACCCUGAAACUGCGCUUGAAACUGGCAGGCUCGAGGACAGGAGAGGGAAGUGGAAUUCCCGGUGUAGCGGUGGAAUGCGUAGAUAUCGGGAGGAACACCAGUGGCGAAGGCGGCUUCCUGGACUGUACCUGACGCUGAGGCGCGAAAGCUAGGGGAGCAAACAGGAUUAGAUACCCUGGUAGUCCUAGCCGUAAACUAUGAGUGCUAGGUGUGGGAGGUUAAAAUCCUUCCGUGCCGGAGUUAACGCAAUAAGCACUCCGCCUGGGGAGUACGGCCGCAAGGCUAAA